rnacentral:lncRNA from 1 species
GUUUAAAGCUGUGAUUAAAGCUGCUCUGCAUUCUGCUUGCAAGGCAGCUGGACCUGCACGAAUUACGAUAAUAACCACACAAGCUCCUUCCUGCGAAGAGUGCUGUUUCUGUAGCUGUGUCAGACAAGUGCUGCCUUUUAAGAAUGAUUGCUCAGCUCUAAGUGACAUUUUUUGGCUUUCUUUUAGAAAAGUAAGUUAUUUAUUUGCCUGGUAUUUUAACUAAAGAACACUAUCAUCCCUAGAGAACAAUUCUGUUUUUCAGCACCGGAGCAAUUACUUUCAGCUGUAUCAAGUGCCUGAUGUUUAAAAGUCUGUAUGGUUUCAUGGAUCCAAGAAAUGCCUUCUCUAAAGGACUCCUGAGCUAACUUCUCCGUGGUUCUCACCACCCUCACGGUCUCAGAAGUACGUCAUUGUGUAUUGCUCACUCACCAUUUAUGAGUAAAUGCACACCCAACUGGGAGAUGUUACACCCGGAGAUGAAGUAGGACACAAAUGCAUAUGGUCAUGAUUCCGUCCUUUAGACCUUGUCUGGAAAAGCUGUCCUUUUACAGGACAGCUGACGGAGAAGGAACUCUCUGGGGUUUUGUUCCAAGGGUUGAACUCAUGACAGCUGAGUUGUGCCCUUCUGGAAAAAACAAACAGCAGGAGCAUUUCCAGGCUCACCACUCAUCCUCCUGUCCAAGACUGGGUUUCUCUAAACUAAGCAGAGUGUGAUGCCACCAGCUCCCCUCUCAGUGACUGGGCUGAACACGAGCAUCAGUACUGCUCUGCACUGAGCAAGGAGGUAAGCAAGGAGACCUCGAGCAGCCACGCCAUAUGUAGCCAUGGCAGCUGUAUAUGUAGUACGUAUAUUUCUGAAUAGGGCUAAUCCUUGAUGCUGGAACAAUGGGAAUAGGACCAGAGAGCUGAAGGCAGGAUGCCCUAUUAAUGAGAGAGCUUGCACCUGUACUAUUAGUUUAUUACUGGCAUGCAUCAGGUUCAUAUUGACUAACAGUCCACUGAGACAAAGUCUUAGAAGCCCAGCUCAUAAGAACAGAACACGUAUAUAGCUAGAUCAAUCUAUAAUUCAUACUUUCACCAGAGGCAUUUGGACACUCAAUUCUUGCCAUACUGAAUAAUUAAUGUAUUCUUUGUGCUGGAAGUAAAUAAUAUACAUGAAACAUAUCAUCCACAAUACGGAAUGUGUAAGACCCUGCUAUUGCCAUAUGCUCAUGCCAACAUCUACCAAAAAUAAAAACCAAAAAAUUCCACCA